AAGAAAAGAAAAAGAAAAGGAAAAGAAAAAAAGAAAGUUGGGGCCUUUAUGAGUGUUAAGAAAAAUGAAAAAUACCUACGUACAACUGCAAUAUGAAACCCAAGGUUAGUAUUAAAUAUAUUUUGCUCAGGGUUGCACACUGAACUAAUUGCUAUUGUGGAUAAAUAUCAGAGUUUCUGGUUUUUUCAUUACAAGGUGAAAUUACAAGAUGAGGACACAGUCCACCCUGAACAAUCAUAAACUAUAAACGGAAAAAUCAAACAGGCAUUUCCAAACAGAGCCAAGUAUACAGAUAAAAUAAGAGAUCAUACUAAACAAAAACAACCACAACAACAAAACUGGCUGGAGUUUCAGGGAUGCUGAGUUGGGAACGACUUCCAUCCAUUCUAUAUGAUUGGUAAGACAAGGGAAGCUCACCCUUAGAACGCAGCCACCACGUGGUGAGGAAUCCCAGGCUACCUAGUGAGUCUUCAUGUAGAUACUCCAGCUGAGACUAGCCAACGUCCUAGCCAAAGGCCAGCCUCAACAGCCAAACACGUGCGUGAACAAGCCUUUAGAUGAUUCUAGUCUCCAGCUUCCAGUUAUGCCAGCUGAUGCCAAAUGAAGAAGAAAUGAGUUGCCCUACUCUGCUUUGCCUAAACUAAAGAUUGGUGAACAAGAGAAAUGCUGUUUUGAACUAGUAGGUUUUGAGGUGGCUUAUUACGCAGCAGUAAAUUACUACCACAGAUACUGAUACUAAAAAUGGUGUGCUGCUAUUCAAAAAAACCUGAAACUAAACUUCCUUUGAACCAGGAGGUAGGUCGAACCUGGAAAGAUGUAGAAAAGUGUAAGAAUGAGACCCAAAAAGGGCCUCCACAAGACUCUUAGUGGAAACCUGAUGGCCUGUGAAGAGGCUGACAGCAAGGGUUUCUAAGCAAGUGAAGAAAAUGACACUGGACGAAAGGGAAGUCAUGCUACAAAAUACCUGAAAGUAAAACGGAUAGGAAAGAGAAACUAAAGAAAGACUAUGCAACUGAAAGGAACCAGGACUUACUGGGUUCAAGUAUCUGUUUCUCAUUUACAGCCUCUCUACAUGUUGAACUGUCAAAUAAUGCUAAAAUAAAGAAAUGGCUUUUGGGUUCAGAGAAACUCCAGGGUGCUACCAGGAAAACAGAAAGAUUUAAGGUAUGCCUCCAAUUUCUUUAAGGAUCUUAAGACUAUAAGAUUUUUUUUAAAGUGGGUUCCACACCCGACAUGGGGCUUAAACUCAGCACCCAGAGAUCAAGUGUCACAUGCUCUACCAACUGAGCCAGCCAGGAGCCCCAAAAGUAGACGAAUUUUAAAGGCGUUGUCCUGUAAGAGCUUCACAGGAAACCUGAAGCGAAAAGCUUAUCUCAAAAGGACUUGGGAGGGUCGCUUUGCUAAAACACGGCAUGAAAUCCAGUAAUAUUUACAGAAAACUAAAAAAGGUAAGAGAUAUAUAGUAGCAAACAUACUAUUUGCUACCUUGGACUAAAAGGGGCCAAAUAGUGCAAAAUGAAAAGAGGCCUUUGGGUCUUAGAAGUCCCACAGGGAGGAAGCAGGAUGAAAAAACAGCUGCAAAUACAGGUCAUUCCUUAUGAAAAGGAAGGAACUAAGAGCUCAAGGAGUAAAGAAAGGGAAAAGACAUGGAGAAAGUAUUCUCGUGGUUAGGACUAAGUCCUAACUUAAGAACUGACAGCAUGCAUCAGGCUAUAUUUCAAAACUCUUAUGGACUAGGGUGCUUCCCAUCUUCUUUUUCUGAAUGGGUGAGUCCUCAGCAGUUGACUAGAAUGUUGCAUUUGUGAGUGGUAAAUAACUGUCUCUUUCAUUCUCAAGUCCUCAUAUUGAGAACACUUGCACUCAAGGGGCUAUACUUGAGAUACCAUAACCCAGGCAGCUUAUCCCCACUGCACCUGAUUAAGAUGGUAAGAUCUUGGACUCAAGCCCUGAACCUGAUGCCAUGAUAACUGCGACUUGCAGGAGGUAUUGGAGGGAGAGGGGAGUGAAUGUAUUUUUCAGGUGGGAGGAAUACAAACAUUUGUGGCUAGUGGGUAAAGUAUACUGCUUUUUAAAGGUGUCCAUAGGUUUUAAUAUUAAUUCCACUAAAAAAAGACCAUGGAACAACCUUAGUGACUUGCUCCUAAUGAACAGAAUAUGUGACUAUGAUCCUGUGUGUAUUCCAAGUCUAGGUGACAAAAGGCGAUUCUGCUUUGCUCUGUAUCUCAGGCUGCUAACUUGGAAUCUAGCUCCCCAUCUAGUGAGGAAGCCUAGGCCACAAAGAGGGUCUAGGUGUGUCAGUUUAAGUGUUUCUGCUACCUCCUGAACUGAAGUCCCAGGCAACAGCCAGCAUCAACCACCAGACGUCAGUGAACAAAUCUUCAAAUGGAUCCAACCCCAAACCUUUCAGUUGCCCCACCUGAAGCUGAGCAGGGCAGAGACUAGCUGUCCUGGCCACACUUUUCCUAACAGAUAUGUGAACAAAAGAAAUCUAACCUUUGGGGAGUUUGUUAAGAAAAAAACAAAAA